CAGCUUCAAGUACAUUAAUCUGCUCCAACAGAUGUUAGUCCACUCACAUCUAAAAAUGUUUCUGAAUGAUGAACCAAUGCAUAUCAAGGAAAUACUGAAAUAAUCUCAAUAAAAUCUGUGCAGUCUCACAUGUUUAGUGUAAAUUGUCACAUGACCAGAGCAGUUUACUUCCUGGUCCAUGAGAGGACCAGGAAGUAAACUUGUGUGAGCAUUUUGUGUGAUCAUAGAGAGAGUAAACAUGUUGAUGGCAACAAGAGUAACACAGUGCACCUGGGUAUAGACGUACUUAUAAACAUACAUGGUUCUUGUUCAAACUUUCUACUCUUUGUUGAAGUUUUGCCUUGACCCCGAAAAGAUGAGAACAAACCAGCCUCUUCUUUCUCAGUAUCAGCUCUGCUUUUCUUAUACACACCAACAUUUAUUGAUAGAUGUCAUGUCAUUUUUUAAAAGUUCAUUAGUCUGAAAGUUGGUCAACAAAUCAAAGGGCAUCACAUCCCACGCUGUUGGUUGUUCUGGUCCACAUCUUAGUGAAUCAUGAAUCUUAUCUUUUCAGUAGAAAGAAAGAACUGAAAAAUGUCUCGUUAAAUAAGUUUAAAAGGGAAGAAACUUGAUGUGUUGACACAGAAAGUCUGGAUUGUAUUUGUUUUUGUCUUUAUCACAUUUAUGUGAGCUCACAUUUUUCCCUUUAGAGGGAUUUUUAAUUCAGAUGUCAUCAUUUUGUAUCGGUUAUAAAAAUUCUAUUCAUAACAACAUACAGGCCGGUGUGUUUUAUUAAAGUCUAGACCUGCGCUGCUUUGAUACAUGAUCAGUAUCAGGACGAACUACAGCUGGACAUAAGUGAAAGACAAACAGACGUGUGUUUCUUCGGUGACCGGAUGAGCCAGGUCCGCCCACCUCCUUCAGACUUUCACCGUUCGGCAAGGACUUCAGAAACUGAUUAACAGAACCUCCAGGAUGCUUCAUGUGAAAGACAGACAGGCCUUUAACUUUCAGUUUGGUGUCUUCACUGGUUUUGCCUGCUGUCAUCCUGAUCCCCUCAUGCAGAGGACAGUCGCAGGUGAUUUGUUCACCUCAGCCAAUCAUAGCCCUGGCUAGUGAUGAUGUUGUGUUUUCAUGUCACCUUGAACCUCCUAUCAGUGCCGGUUCCAGGACAGCGGAGUGGACCAGACCUGGUUUGGACCCAGAGUACAUCCAUGUCCACCAAGAUGGACGACUGUUGCAUGAUGUUUGAGCUGUUUAAGAGACACAACAUCUGCACAAUGUGACAGCAGACCUGCUCCACUGCGCCCCCUUCUGGUCUUUAUCCACACAUUACAGGUUCAUGUGCACAAGGGGCUCAAAGGUUAGUUGUAGUAAAAUAUGCAGGGCUGCAUGUUGUGAUAAAUAUGACAGGAAAAAUGGGAGCUCACAUUCAGGCUGAUUUAAUUUUACAGAAAAAUCUCUUGCAGAUGUAUAAAAACACUCUGCUUCUGCAGUGUUGGAUAAAGAAUCUGUGAAUAUUUAGAUAUUGCUCAUUUGCAGAGGUUUAACUGCUGGGCACCAGAUGAAGGUUUCAAGUUUUCUACAUCUCAUUUGUGUGGGUGACAUGUUGACCACAACUGGUCCAAAAUCAUGUUUUUAUGUACAUAAAUUAUAAAUCAAAGUUCAGGAUCACAUUUUUAAAAAAGACUCUGAGACCAGUUUGUUUCAGUACUCCAGUUUUUAAUAAGAUUGUUGCUCAAAGCGUUCUCUUCAUUACACAUUCAGUCUUCUCAGAGAGGAGCUCCAGCUCCCGUUCACGUCACUUGUCGCUUCGUCCCUUCAGUAGCGUUACAGCAGAGAAUCAAAGAUGUGAUUACACAUGAGACCGAUUACACAAAGACUCUCUCAUCCAACCAUGUUUGUGUGUUUGGUAGGUACAUGACACUCGGCUCAGGAGCUUUGAGGGACGCUGGCACAGACUGAUGGGAGGACAGUUGAACACGGGAAG